rnacentral:rRNA from 1 species
GGGGGAUAUCGCACAAUGGGGGAAACCCUGAUGCAGCGACGCCGCGUGGAGGAAGAAGGUUUUCGGAUUGUAAACUCCUGUCGUUAGGGACGAUAAUGACGGUACCUAACAAGAAAGCACCGGCUAACUACGUGCCAGCAGCCGCGGUAAAACGUAGGGUGCAAGCGUUGUCCAGAAUUACUGGGUGUAAAGGGAGCGCAGGCGGACCGGCAAGUUGGAAGUGAAAACUAUGGGCUCAACCCAUAAAUUGCUUUCAAAACUGCUGGCCUUGAGUAGUGCAGAGGUAGGUGGAAUUCCCGGUGUAGCGGUGGAAUGCGUAGAUAUCGGGAGGAACACCAGUGGCGAAGGCGACCUACUGGGCACCAACUGACGCUGAGGCUCGAAAGCAUGGGUAGCAAACAGGAUUAGAUACCCUGGUAGUCCAUGCCGUAAACGAUGAUUACUAGGUGUUGGAGGAUUGACCCCUUCAGUGCCGCAGUUAACACAAUAAGUAAUCCACCUGGGGAGUACGACCGCAAGGUUGAAACUCAAAGGAAUUGACGGGGGCCCGCACAAGCAGUGGAGUAUGUGGUUUAAUUCGAAGCAACGCGAAGAACCUUACCAGGUCUUGACAUCCGAUGCAUAGCGCAGAGAUGCGUGAAGUCCUUCGGGACAUCGAGACAGGUGGUGCAUGGUUGUCGUCAGCUCGUGUCGUGAGAUGUUGGGUUAAGUCCCGCAACGAGCGCAACCCUUAUUGCCAGUUACUACGUAAGAGGACUCUGGCGAGACUGCCGUUGACAAAACGGAGGAAGGUGGGGAUGACGUCAAAUCAUCAUGCCCUUUAUGACCUGGGCUACACACGUACUACAAUGGCGUUUAACAAAGAGAAGCAAGACCGCGAGGUGGAGCAAAACUCAAAAACAACGUCUCAGUUCAGAUUGCAGGCUGCAACUCGCCUGCAUGAAGUCGGAAUUGCUAGUAAUCGCGGAUCAGCAUGCCGCGGUGAAUACGUUCCCG